rnacentral:rRNA from 1 species
UACAGAGGGUGCGAGCGUUGUUCGGAAUUAUUGGGCGUAAAGGGCUCGUAGGCGGCCUACUAAGUCAGACGUGAAAUCCCUCGGCUUAACCGGGGAACUGCGUCUGAUACUGGUUGGCUUGAAUCCGGGAGAGGGAUGUGGAAUUCCAGGUGUAGCGGUGAAAUGCGUAGAUAUCUGGAGGAACACCGGUGGCGAAGGCGGCAUCCCGGACCGGUAUUGACGCUGAGGAGCGAAAGCCAGGGGAGCAAACGGG